rnacentral:tRNA from 4 species
GCCGGGAUGGCGGAAUUGGUAGACGCGCAUGAUUCAGGGUCAUGUGCCCGCGAGGGCGUGGGGGUUCAAGUCCCCCUCCCGGCACCA